AUUGAACGCUGGCGGCAGGCCUAACACAUGCAAGUCGAGCGGCAGCGGAAAGUAGCUUGCUACUUUGCCGGCGAGCGGCGGACGGGUGAGUAAUGUCUGGGAAACUGCCUGAUGGAGGGGGAUAACUACUGGAAACGGUAGCUAAUACCGCAUAACGUCGCAAGACCAAAGAGGGGGACCUUCGGGCCUCUUGCCAUCAGAUGUGCCCAGAUGGGAUUAGCUAGUAGGUGGGGUAACGGCUCACCUAGGCGACGAUCCCUAGCUGGUCUGAGAGGAAGACCAGCCACACGGAAAGUGAGACACGGUCCAGACUCCUACGGGAGGCAGCAGUGGGGAAUAUUGCACAAUGGGCCCAAGGGUGAUGCAGCCAUGCCGCGUGUAUGAAGAAGGCCUUCGGGUUGUAAAGUACUUUCAGCGGGGAGGAAGGUGUUGAGGUUAAUAACCUCAGCAAUUGACGUUACCCGCAGAAGAAGCACCGGCUAACUCCGUGCCAGCCGCCGCCGUAAAAC
rnacentral:rRNA from 1 species